ensembl:lncRNA
GUGCAAAUGUAUGUGCAUUCAUGUGUGCCUGCGUGGAGAUCUGAGGUUGGCUGGUAGGGUGGACCUCUGCGCAUAAUCACAUGUGUGUGCAAGCAUUGCCACGGCUCGAUUUCUUGGAAUUUGGUUUCUGAAGGGGAGUUUAUCUCUGGAUGUGUGCAAAUGUAUGUGCAUUCAUGUGUUCCUGCGCUGAGAUCUGAGGUUGGCUGGUAGGGUGGACCUCUGCGCAUAAUCACAUGUGUGUGCAAGCAUUGCCACGGCUCGAUUUCUUGGAAUUUGGUUUCUGAAGGGGAGUUUAUCUCUGGAUGUGUGCAAAUGUAUGUGCAUUCAUGUGUUCCUGCGUGUAGAUCUGAGGUUGGCUGGUACGGUGGACCUCUGCGCAUAAUCACAUGUGUGUGCAAACAUUGCCACGGCUCGAUUUCUUGGAAUUUGGUUUCUUUG